rnacentral:tRNA from 2 species
GUUCCAGUGGCUCAAUGGAUGUAGCAACCGUCUACGAAGCGGUAUUAUGUAGGUUCGAAUCCUAUCUGGAACACCA